rnacentral:rRNA from 1 species
GGAAUUUUCCGCAAUGGGCGAAAGCCUGACGGAGUGACGCCGCGUGGGGGACGAAGGCCUUCGGGUUGUAAACCCCUGUCAGAGGGAAAGAAGCGUGCCGGUGUGAAUAGCGCCGGCACGUGCCGGUACCUUCCGCGGACGCCCCGGCCAACUCUGUGCCAGCAGCCGCGGUAAGACAGAGGGGGCAAGCGUUGCUCGGAAUCACUGGGCGUAAAGGGCGCGUAGGCGGGAUGGCAAGUCGGUCGUGAAAGCCCCCGGCUCAACCGGGGAGGGUCGACCGAUACUGCCAUUCUUGAGGGAUGCAGAGGAGACUGGAAUUCCCGGUGUAGCGGUGAAAUGUGUAGAGAUCGGGAGGAACACCGGUGGCGAAGGCGGGUCUCUGGGCAUCUCCUGACGCUGAGGCGCGAAAGCGUGGGGAGCAAAC